UACGGGGGGGGCAAGCGUUGUUCGGAAUUACUGGGCGUAAAGGGCUCGUAGGCGGCCAACUAAGUCGGAUGUGAAAUCCCCAGGCUCAACUUGGGAACUGCAUCCGAUACUGGAUGGCUUGAAUUCGGGAGAGGGAUGCAGAAUUCCAGGUGUAGCGGUGAAAUGCGUAGAGAUCCGGAGGAACACCAGAGGCGCAGGCGGCUUGCUGGGUCUGUAUUGACGCUCAGACACGAAAGCAUGGGGAGCGAACGGG
rnacentral:rRNA from 1 species